GACGAACGCUGGCGGCGUGCUUAACACAUGCAAGUCGAGCGGAAACACCCUGCUUUUGUGGGAUCCUCGAGUGGCGACCGGGUGCGUAACACGUGCGUAACCUGCCCUUGACUUUGGCAUAACGUCAGGAAACUGGGGCUAAUACUGGAUAGGAGCUCUUGCUGCAUGGUGGGGGUUGGAUAGUUUCGGCGGUUGGGGAUGGACUCGCGGCUUAUCAGCUUGUUGGUGGGGUAGUGGCUGACCAAGGGUUUGACGGGUAGCCGCCCUGAGAGGGUGACCGGCAACAUUGGGACUGGGAUACGGCACGGAGUACUACGGGAGGCAGGAGUGUGGAAUAAUGCACGAUGGGGGGAAGUAGGAUGCAGCAAGGCCGCGUGCGGGAUGACAAACUUCGGUUAGGAGAGGACAUAGGCGUGUGACGGUGGGUGAGUGCAGGUAAUGGGUAAAGAAGGACCGGCUAAUUACGUG
rnacentral:rRNA from 1 species